GGGCGGAGUCCUCGGAGUCCGUGAAUAAAGGGACUCCAGCUUUCGGGUUUUUAAAAACCUCUUCUCUCUGCGCGUGCGGCGUGUGAGGUGUGUUCUGCGCAUAGACUGUGGUUCUUCGACGAGUCUAAAAGAUUAUGGAAGUGGAAGAGGAAGAGGAAGAGGAAAUUGUGAGACAAGUUAGGAAGAAGAUAAUGCCCAACAAACUGCAUUCCGAUCAUCAGAAGAACAAGAAGAGGAAGAACAAAAAGAAGUCUCAAACUAAAGGGUCAAGAGAUACAAACACAGUGAAACCUGUGAGAUGCAACAGCAUGGAGCGACUUUCACCCACGUUGUCUGGUGAUCAAGCUGUAGAGUCUCAUUCUAAUGAAUCAGAGAAGGUCCAGGAUGAGGUGACUUUACAUUACA